UGCAGAGGGUGCGAGCGUUACUCGGAAUUACUGGGCGUAAAGCGUGCGUAGACGGUUAUUUAAGUCGGAUGUGAAAGCCCCGGGCUCAACCUGGGAAUUGCAUUCGAGACUGAAUAGCUAGGGUGCGGUAGAGGGAAGCGGAAUUUCCGGUGUAGCGGUGAAAUGCGUAGAUAUCGGAAGGAACAUCAGUGGCGAAAGCGGCUUCCUGGACCAGCACCGACGUUCAGGCACGAAAGCGUGGGGAGCAAACAGG
rnacentral:rRNA from 1 species